GGGCACUUGGCACAGUGGUAGCGCGCAUGCUUCGCAUUUAUUGGCUUGCAUGAGGUCGGGAGUUCAAUCCUCCCAGUGUCCA
rnacentral:tRNA from 1 species